rnacentral:rRNA from 1 species
UACGUAGGUGGCAAGCGUUAUCCGGAUUUACUGGGUGUAAAGGGCGUGUAGGCGGUUUUGCAAGUCAGAUGUGAAAUCUCCGGGCUUAACCCGGAAACUGCAUCUGAAACUGCAGAACUUGAGUACUGGAGAGGAUAGUGGAAUUCCUAGUGUAGCGGUAAAAUGCGUAGAUAUUAGGAGGAACACCAGUGGCGAAGGCGACUAUCUGGACAGUAACUGACGCUGAGGCGCGAAAGCGUGGGGAGCAAACAGGAUUAGAUACCCCGGUAGU